rnacentral:rRNA from 1 species
GACGAACGCUGGCGGCGUGCCUAAUACAUGCAAGUCGAACGAAGUGGCGAACGGGUGAGUACUACGUGGGUAACCUGCCCUCCUUUUUGGGAUAAGCCUUGGAAACGGGGUCUAAUACAGACUAAAGGGGGAUGGGCUCGCGGCCUUUCAGCUUGUUGGUGGGGUGAUGGCCUACCAAGGCGGUGACGGGUGGCCGGCCUGAGAGGGUGACCGGGCACAGUGGGACUGAGAUACGGCCCAGAGUAGUACGGGAGGCAGCAGUGGUGGAUAGUGCGCAAUGGGCGAAAGCCUGAUGCAGCGACGCCGCGUGGGGGUUGAAGGCUUUCGGGUUGUAUACCUCUUUCGCUAUCGAAUGGGUAGGUGGAGAGGAAGCGCCGGCUAACUACGUGCCAGCAGCCGCGGUAAUAC